GAUCUUCGGCAAUGGGCGAAAAGCCUGACCGAGCGACGCCGCGUGGGGGAAGAAGGCNNNCGGGUNGUAAACCCCUGUCCUUGNGGCNGAAGGUGACGGUACCCAAGGAGGAAGCCCCGGCUAACUACGUGCCAGCAGCCGCGGUAAAACGUAGGGGGCAAGCGUUGUCCGGAAUCACUGGGCGUAAAGGGUGCGUAGGCGGCUGCUUAAGUCCUGUGUGAAAGGCCCCGGCUCAACCGGGGAAGGCCAUGGGAAACUGGGCAGCUUGAGUGCCGGAGAGGGUGGCGGAAUUCCCGGUGUAGCGGUGAAAUGCGUAGAGAUCGGGAGGAACACCAGUGGCGAAGGCGGCCACCUGGACGGUAACUGACGCUGAGGCACGACAGCUGGGGGAGCAAACAGG
rnacentral:rRNA from 1 species